AAAAAAAAGAAUAAGUGCACUUGAGUAUAACAAUGACUGGGUGAGGCCGGUAUGAAUGUCUAUUCUGCACAAAGUACAGACAAGUCUUGUGGGAUCCAUGCCUGGUUCAUUUUAAUAAAUGUGAGCUUGUCCACGUUGGCCGUGGACAGGCGGCUGCACUUGUCUGUGAUAACCUUGUGCCGAUCGCACGUCUCCGUGAUGGCGACAACGCAUUCGGAUGUCUGCCCUUUCAACUUUCGAUGCAAUUUUCCGUGCCUACCAUGGUGACCACAGGUAACAGGGAAUCAGGGUCCGAUUCAGAGAGGGAGCCUGAGAAACGGCUACCACAUGCAAGGAAGGCAGCAAGCACGCAAAUUACCCACUCCCGACGACAAAUAACAAUACACUACUCUUUCGAGGCCCUGUAAUUGAUCCUUUAACUUGGAUCAAUUGGAGGGCAAGUCUGGUGCAGAGCGACUGACCCGUGUGUGCUGCAGCUGAAACUCCACU